rnacentral:misc_RNA from 1 species
GAACAAAUGAGUAGAAAAGAAACAUCGCCAAUGCAAAUCCAACAAAGGGAAGUGCUGCUCCAGCUGACCAGUGAAUGGACUUCAACUCAUUGCGCUCAAGUAUGCCUAUUUGGCAACCACUAACAAUGGCACCAAAAAGGCCCAGAAAUGCCAUGAGUUCAACCAUAUCAGCACUUUUGACAAAAAACUCCUCACUGACAUUACUAA